AACGCAAAUUGCGCCCUCGGUUUGAAGCCGGGGGCACGUCUGUCUGAGCGUCCGUUUCGUUUCUGUCCCACCGGGCACUCGUGUCCGGCUGCGACGUGUUGAGGCGUCGUCCGGCCAAACCCCCGGGCGUCCCUUGAAGUGCGAAGCGCUCCGGUUCGAAGGCGCCCUCCACCGAGUGCCCUUCCACCUUGCGCGUCGGGAACUCGACGAUGACAAGGGGGAAGGCCUCGACGGCAGGUCGCCGGCGGACGGGAGACGAGAUGCAAGGUUUUAAUUACAAGGGGAGAGAGAGCCCCUCAAAAAGGCCCUCUCGCCCUCCAUCCUGGACCUCAGCUCAGGCGUGACUACCCGCUGAAUUUAA
rnacentral:misc_RNA from 1 species